AAUAAAUAAUGUUUUACAUUAUUUAUGUUCAAAUGUUUGACUAUUUGUUUUAUUUAAUAUUUUUUAUGAUUAGUAUUUUUAUUGUUAUUAGAUGAUAAUACAUGAAUAGUACUUUAUGUGUGACUAAUUUUUUUUAUUUUUCUAAAUAAGACGAAUGGUCAAACGUUGGACACAGAUAUCCACGGUUGUGCAUAUU
rfam:Oryza nivara chromosome 4, whole genome shotgun sequence.